AAGGGAGAAAAAAGAACUCGUCCCAGUUUCAUCUGUGCUCCUGCCCUUUACAAUCACAGACUGGGCACUGUGAUGCCCUUUAAAUUCAAUUCAAUGAGCUUAGGUGCUCAACACAAAGGACCCAAGACAGCAACCGAAUGAUAUGAAUUGCAGAGAGCACAGAAAACAUUACCAUCUCCAAAUCAAGGAGCAUUGACCCAAAUAAAAUUCAACUUUGUCAGAAGAAAGGAUUUUCCUAAUCAAAAUGGUCAGAGAAGUGUGGAAGAAGGAAGUUGGGGAAGAGUUUCCAAGGGAAAACGGAUGCUGAACACCAUCAGCCCUAAUAUGAGUGAGGGCCCACAGGAUCCAUAGUGUGAGAUUUGAAAAAUAAAUAUGUGCGUUUCUCUAUUACCAAUUUGUCUUAUUGAUAAUGGUUAUUAAAACUUAUUUAAAAAUUGGCCAAACCUAUUUUGUAAAAGAAAUAUUAUGAAGAAAGGCCUUCCUCCUCAGAUAUCAAAAGAUAUUAAAAAUGCAAUAUCUUGAAAAAUGUGGUUCUGUGACGGAAUGUAUAUCUUAACAGCAGAAAGAGGAGUGAAUUAAGAAACUGCCUCAGGAAUUCAAGAAAAUUCAGUUGAUGAAAAAGUUAGCAUUUCAAAUAGAAGAAGAAAUGAUGGAUUAUUCAAUAAAUGAUAUUGAAGGAGAUAAUUAUACAUUUGGAAAGAAAAAAUUAAGUCUAGGCUCUGUUGCAGGAACAUAUAUUCUAAUGGGAAAAGAUAAACUGAUAAAUUAGAUAGUUUCAGGCAUUUCAAAGAAAAUAAAGAAAAAAAAUUUUUAAAAACUUUAGGAUCUCUGUUGCUUUAUU